AAAGGGCACAUGAGGGAACAAAACCAAACAAAAACAUAACCGUAGGUGGUUGGAGGUGGGAAGGGGAAGACACUGAGAGAAUCCCGUUACAUUCUUUUGGAAUGUUCAGUAAAUAGCUGUGGGAUGUCUACCUAACUUUUCUCCUCAUUCAUCCUACAGAAGCACCUUUCCUACCACUGUGACGUCUCAUCGAGCUGGUUUUUCAAAAGUGUCCUUUCUUGAAAAAUUGACAGAAGACAACAGCGAUGCACUACGAUGGAAUUGGCUGUAUUCAGUGGACGUUUGGUCAUUUUCAGCCAAGAAAUAGUACAUGCACAUUCGUAGACAUAUUGAAACCUUUCAGAGUGGAUAGCCAUUCAAAUGUUGUUUUCUGUUAUAUUAAUUAAUCUUAAUGUCACAGUUGUGAAUCAACCAU